UGCGUCCGAAACCGCAUACUGUAUAGUAGGUACUGAAUUAGAUGAAGUACCUACUUACUUGGCAUUAAAACAGUAGGUACUGUAUAGUAUGAAUCCUGGUAGUAUGAAUGAGAUUCGGACGUACUACAUCCGCCAUGUUGCUACAUCACGUGACAUACGUCGUCAUCACGUCAUGUCAUUUCAGCGCGAAAACAGCAGCGUGCCUCUUCUUCUUCGUUGGAUAACUCAUCGUCCGGGGCAUCAUGGGAUAGUGAAGCGUCCAUCGUAUGCACACUGCAAAAUCUAACCGGAAGUAGUAGGUCAUCCGGGUACUUUUCGCAUACUGUUUUUCGAAUACUAUGUAUUCGGACAUACUACUCGCCUCGCCUACUGCUUUUCGCGUACUAUAUAGUAUGUAGUAGGCGGUUUCGGACGCAGCAUAGGAGUACGACCGGUUUAAGAUGGCCGCCGUAUUUCUCAGUCCCCAGCGGCCAAUAGGGCAUCUAGUCUUCUAUAUGAUAUCUAUGGUUCUGAUGGCUGUCUGCGAGAUCUUGCGUAUCACACGAGGAAGCUUCGGAGAAAGAAGAGAAACCUUCAAUUUAGAAAAGUGAUGGUGAUCUUGUCAAUGCUGAGAUUUUCAUGCAUCAACAGCCACUACAUCUGGAUCAGGAUUGAACAAGAAACAGACAGCAAGGGUUGUCAGGUCAGAAACAGAAUGACACACAAACACAAGAAACUUCACAGGCAGAUCACCAUGCAAUUUGAAGAAGUGUGAUAAAAUGCACAGUGUGAUAAAGUCGUGUGUCUUUCCAGAUGCCCAAAUCAUUCCCCCUUAAAAGAUGAGCCUGAAGAGGAGAUUUGGGAAGAUGAUGUUUCAUAAGUCUUUGUUUUGCCAGAUCACCAGUGGUAAGUUUGUAAAACUUAUAUUAAAAAUAGGAUUAGAACAUCUCCUAAUCAAGUUUUUGAUCAGGUAGGGAUGUCUGCUAACAAGAUGCCUUGCUGGUUUGGGCGAGUUUGAAGUCCCACACAGACAGUCCAGAGGUUCUGAAGUGCACGACCCUUUAAUGUGUAGAAACAUCUCAGCAACCAUCAAGAAAAAAUGGAGGCAACGGAGCUAAAUUGCAGAUGUUGUUGCAAAGGGUCUGAAUAUGUAUAAUAUGCUGUCAUCAUAUUUUAAGUACAUCAUGAGCCAGAAUGGAUGGAUGGUGGUGGCCAUAAGAAGACAACUACACCAACAACAAAAUUCAUAUUUGCAGAUUCAGAUGAAUAAAAUGACUUUUAAA